GACGAACGCUGGCGGCGUGCUUAACACAUGCAAGUCGAACGGAAAGGCCCUGCUUUUGUGGGGUGCUCGAGUGGCGAACGGGUGAGUAACACGUGAGUAACCUGCCCUUGAAUUUGGGAUAACUUCAGGAAACUGGGGCUAAUACCGGAUAGGAGCUCCUGCUGCGUGGUGGGGGUUGGAAAGUUUCGGCGGUUGGGGAUGGACUCGCGGCUUAUCGGCUUGUUGGUGGGGUAGGGGCAUACCAAGGGUUUGACGGGUAGCCGGCCUGAGAGGGUGACCGGCGACCAUGCGCCUGCGAGACGGACCAGUCUCCUACGGGACGCAGCAGUGGGGAAUAUUACAGAGUGAGCGGAAGCCUGAUACGGAAAUCCCGGGAUCGUGAUGCCGGCUUUCGAGUUGUAAACCACUUUCGCCGGUGAUGUAGAGGUAGUGACGGUAAUGGGUAAAGAAGCACCGGCUAACUACGUG
rnacentral:rRNA from 1 species